GGGUAAGGCAAGUGAAGCAUUUGCCUGUUGGCUGAAGACUUGUCUGAUUUUUGAUCUUUCAGGUGGUUCAGCUGCUUUGUUCCACUAAACCUGAAAUUAACAGUUGAAGUUGAGAGUUAACUACUUCGAGCCCUCCUUCCUUCUCCUCAAAACAAGUGCAAAUGCCAUGAACAGACAGUUGCAAACAGGACUGAACUGUACACCAGGAAGAGUGGAGCCUGAGGAAUACAGAGUACAAUUCCUUGAAAACUACAGUAAUACAGUACAACAGCUGGCUUACAGGAACUGGCAAGAAGGACAAGUAAGAAGAGUUCCUGAUGGAGUUGAGAGAGGAGGUGAGAGAUGGUAGAACUGAAGAAUCGGCAGCAAUAGGAGAUGGAGGGCAAGCUGCCAUUUCACUGACGCCUGACGCUGGUGGCACGGGUUCUGAUUCCUUGCUGGAUUUAAUUCUAUCUACCCUCCUGAAUGAGAUGAUGUAGAGUCUGGGUAGUAGCUAUUUUUUUCUCAUACAGAUGACACGGUAGCACUGGAUUGCUUUGUGAACAGCUGCUGCAACCUUUGUGUAGCCUUCUAUGUUCAAGGCCUGUGCCUCAAAAGCUAAAAGCACCCCCACAAAUACAGAAAAUCCCCUUCCUUCUCCUGCAUCGUGAAUCCCUUUAGCUCUUCAGUUACUUCUUCUUUGUCAUAUCUCUCUUCCUCCUUUCUCUAGGCACAUUUGGAUUUUUAAAAGUUUCCAACUUGAAGGCUUACAUGUAGGGGACUUACUGUAUUUGCAAAGCAGGAAUAAACAUAAUGCCUAGAUUAGAUCCA
rnacentral:lncRNA from 1 species